AUUGUGAUCCUACCUCUGAAUAUAGAAAGGGCCCAGGUUCAAUAGUUAGUUAUUAUUUUUAUUGAAAAUAUUAUUAAUAGUAGUAAUAUUGAGGAGCGCAGAAGAUAACCUUAAAAAAAGAAAGAAAAAAGUGCGUGAUCGAUGAUUCAUUGUUGAAUAUCAUAAGGGCGCUUUAUCGAAUAAAUAAUAAUUGCUUACGUGCUAAUAUAGUUAUCAAAAGAACACAAAAAUGUUGAGCGGGGCGAGUUUAAGUAUUGAAAGGGUAAACAAAGAAAAUUACGACGCGUGGAAAUUGCAAAUGGCGGCAAUACUAGAGCUACCGGCAUUUGAAACGUAGCCAAUCUUUACCAAAGUCGGUCGAAAUGCCCGGUCUUUAAAAAAUACGUAAUAGUAGAAUAUUUUUAUAUUUAUUGACCUCUUAUUAUCUUACAAAAGGAACUCCAUGUUCUGAGAUCAUAAAAACUAUAUAAUAACUUUAAUAAUAACAAUAAGUACAAUAAUGAAGAAUAUUCAGUACCAAAACUUUUGGUAAUAAGAAUGUUAAAAUAAAUUUUCAUUGGUAAAUAUAAGAAGUAUAAUAUAAGAAUACAAUAAUAAGCGCAAUAAGCGUAAUAGAAUAAAUAAAAUACAAAUAUAAUUUAAAUUAUUAGAUACAAAAUUUAUCAUUCAUCACAUUUCUUAUAAACGUAAGCUUUCUUCUGUGUGCAUUUCUUGCAAACAUUGUCAGCGGCAAGUUCUUCUACUAAUUGAAACAUAAAAUCUUUUCUGGAUAUCUGCUCACCUGUGGUUUUCUUAUAUAAAAUUGAGGAAAUUAUGCCAGCUAAAUCUAAAAUAUUAAAAAAUACUUGAAGUGGCCAUCUUCUUGAUCCCGAUUUCACGAUAUAUUUUCUUGCCAUUUGGUCUGCUAUAUCUACCCCAAAUUUUGUUUUAUUAUAAAAUUAGACCGUUUCAGGUAGGUCCUUUUCGCUUUUUCCUAAAUAAGGAAAUCCAUUUACAACAUACUUUAUUUGAAUAUCAGAUGCCAACCAAAAUCUAAUUCCGAACUUGCCGGGUUUAUUCGGUAAAUAUUGCGUAAAUCUGCAUCUGGCUUUGGUUGGGAAAAGUAGCUCGUCUAUUGUCAUGUUUGCACUAGGUUUAUAGCAAUUCUGGCUGUUUUCAAUAAACUUAUCCCAUACAGAUGAUAUUAGUGCAAAUUUGUCAUUUUUCAAACGUUGACUUCUAUCAUCUUUUUGUCAAAUCGAAUAAAUGUCAAUAUUUCAACUCAUUUCAUUUCGACUCAUUGUGCUGGAAAGGAAGCUUGGUCCCCAUUUUGUAUUCCACAAAUAUGAAAGUUUCAAAUUUUUCGCUUCGUAUGCUCCCCGUACAAUAUUCUAAGGAAUGCUUUCAAUUUUGUUUCUGUAAGAAUCCAUUUUUUACCCAAAACUUGAGAGGCUUCUGAUUCGGUGCAAGAUAUAUGUUGCAACAUAUGGCUGUCGAUCAGUAAGGAAAGUGCGCUAAUUACUUUAUCUUUCAUGAUACUUUUUUUGCAUAUCUCGUGAGCCGGUUGUGUCUUUGAAUAUAUUGUGCAAGGGUAAUCUCCCAGAAGCUGACCCUUCUUGAAUUCUUUCCCACUUAGUUCCGUUUACGGCAAUUUCAUUUGGACUAGCUUGUACACUUUCAGUUUCACUUUCAGAACUUGAAAGCAUCCGAGCACGUCUUUUGCGUACAUUCAAAAUGUUCUCUUUCUCACUUUCUGAGGAUUCAUUUUCUUUGUCACUAAUGUCACUAUUACUGUUAUCAUUACAAAUUUCAAUUUUUUUCCCCUGGUUUACUUCCUUCACACUCAGAGAAUUCACUAUCCUCGAUAUCAGAGCAUUCCAUUGGUAUCCUUUUCAGUUUUUGCAAUAAUUCGAAUGCUUCCAAUUGUUUACAUUUUCAAGACUUGUAAAAUAUUGCUUUAUAAAACGAGAAAUCAGGUCUUAUUCCAACGACUUUUUGAAUUCAUAGAGCCAAUAAAAAAUCAAAAAGUAAAAUUAACGAAUGACAAAUUAGCUGAAAUCAAAGGUAAAGGUACUGCAAUAAUUAUUUAGUUAUAUAAAAAACAAACUUGAGAAAUUUCGAUUGGAAAACGCAUUAUAUAUACCAGAAUUAAAAGCAAAUUUGAUCUCAGUAUCAAAAGUUACAGCAAAUGGAAAAGGGAUUGUAUUUGCAAAUAAAAUGGCUACAAUAUUUGGAAAAAAAGAUGAAAUCGUUAUUACUGCUAUUCAUAAAAAGGAUUUAUAUAUUGUAGAUACAAAAUUCGAAUAUAUUGGUAUGGUAUAUGAAAACAGAAAUACACUUAUGGAUUGGCACUAUCGAUAUGGACACUUAAAUGAAUCUGAUUUUUGAAGAUUAAUAAAUAAAAAUAUUGUAAAUGGCCUACCUAACGUAAGAUUGAAUAAAAUGAAUACUUGCAAAAUAUGUUUGAAAGGCAAACAGGCAGCAACCCCAAUGCCAAAGAGAACUGAAUUAAAAAUGUUGGAAAUAUUAGAACUGAUACAUUCUGAUGUACGUGACCCUAUAAGACAAACAUCUUUGGGUGGAGCAAAGUAUUUUGCUACCUUUAUUUAUGACACAUUAAGGGAAUUUACAACUCUCCAUAUACCUCAGAAAAAUGGAGUAGCUGAGCGAAUGAAUAAAACAAUUGUGGAGAUGAUAUGAUGUAUGUUGAUCCAGACAAAGUUACCUAUCCAAUUUUGGACGGAAGCUGGUAAUAUGGCGUCAUAUAUUAGGAAUAGGUGCCCAACAGUUCAUGGUAAAACACCAUAUGAAAUUUGGCAUAAAAGGAAACCAAAUGUGAAUCAAAUUAAAAUUUUUGGUACUGAAGUUUAUGUAUUAAAUAAGCGGCCCGAUAAAAGUAAAUUUGAAGCAAGAUCAACAAAAUGUAUUUUUAUUGGAUAUUCUGAUGAAUUAAAAGCAUUUGAUUAUAGGAUCCAAGUAAAUGAAAAGUCAUAAUAAGUAGAGAUGUUUCUUUUUUAAGAAAUAUUCAGUAUCACAAUGAUGAAACUGAAAAUGAACUUGAACAAUUUCAAUAUGAACUGAUAAGUCAAGAAUUUGACGAAGAAAUCUCAGAAGAGAUUCAUGAGGAAGAACAUGAUGAUGGUGAAAACAUGAAUCAAAAUGAAAAUUGUGUUCAAGAUAGAUUUGUGGUCAAGAGGGGCCAAGGAAGGCCAAACAAUACAAACAAGAAAUGUUGGUAGACCAAGGAAAAUUUAUAAAACUGACCCAAUUAAUCAAUAAACGGUACAAUUAGUUAAUUAUAAUUAGACUGAGCCAAUAGAUGAAUUAUUAUCUGGACCUCAUGUAGAAAAAUGGAAAGAAGCCAUGAAAAAGGAAUAUGACAGCUUGAUCAAAAAUAACGUUUGGGAAUUAGUAAAAUGUCCAGUGAAUAGAUCUCCAAUUGGAUCAAAAUGGGCUUUAAACACCAAAUAUAAUGAAAAUGGAAAAGUUGAACGCAGAAAAGCAAGAUUAUUAGCGGGAGGUUUAGCUCAAAAACCAGGUAUUGAAUACAAUGAAACCUUCGCUCCCGUGGCACGAUUAACUUCCAUUAGAGUUAUAAUGGCCUUAGCUGCUAAAUUAAAAUUGGAUUUAUAUCAAUUGGAUAUAACCAUGGCAUCUGCUUAUGUUCAAUAUCCAUUGUUCAUAAUUGUUUAGUUCAAAAUCCAGUGUUCCACGGUCGCACGAAGCAUAUAGACAACCGCCAUCAUUAUAUUCGUGAGAUUUUUCCAAAGGGAAUCAUUGGAAUUUGCAUCCAUAUGCAGAUGCGUUAGUUACUAAGUUACUCAUGUAUACAUGUAGUACGAUUAUUUACUGCAGACAGUCUGUAGCUGUUGACGACGCUGUUUAUAUAUCUCUUGACCAGUCGCUGAGAGAACAUCAAGAGGUCUACAUCUUCGCAUAAUACAUUUAAGAAAAUGAAAGAGUGGCCGGAAGUUACCAUAUACCAAAAUGACAUUAGUCCACACUGUCGUACCGUUCUAAUGGUGAUUAAGGAACUUGGGCUGAACGUCACGUUUCGCGAGGUUAACCUGGAUAAGAAGGAACAUCUAUCAGAGGAAUUUUUAAAAAUGAAUCCUUUGCACACGAUUCCGGUGAUGGAAGAGUGCGGAUAUGUUCUUACGGAUAGUCACGCUAUCGCAUGUUUUAUAAUUGAUGAUUUGUCAUAUUUUGAUUAUUCUCUGUACCCGAAAGAUCUCCAGGUACGAGCUCUGAUUAAUCAGUAUCUCAUGAUCGAAGCGACGACACUGUUCCCUCUUGUGAAGCACACCAUAGUACCGAUAAUGUUGGGACAAAAGUCUUCUAUCUCCAAAGAAAUGUUGGACGGAUGCAAGGAAGCGUACUCGUGCUUGGAUAAGCUUCUGGAAGGCAAGAAAUGGUUGGUCGGCAACUCUUACACUCUCGCGGAUAUUAAUUGCGUAACUGUGGCCAGCAGUAUCUCUGUUCUGAUGGAUCUGGAUCAAUAUCCAAAUGUAAAGGCUUGGAUAAAAAGUUGCGAGGACGAAAUAUCGAGCUACAAUGAAUGCAAUGUGCCAGGGCUUAAAAAGUUACAUGCUCGCCUUCGUGCAGCACUUCCCAGUUCCUAAAUAUAUAAAAUAGCUAUAUAUGUAUAUAUAUAUAUAUAUAUAUAUCUAUAGAUAAAUAAGUAUCAUAUAUACAUAUAUAGAUGUAUAGAUAUAAUAAAUAUAUCUAUAGUCAGAGUGGAAGAGUGAGAUGAUUGAUUUGAUAAUACGUGUGGAGUUCUAACAAUUUUUUUUUAGUUUUUACGUAUCAUUUUUUAAAUUUGUAAUUUUGCUAUAAUUUGUUAUAUACAUAGUUGUAUGAUAAAUACUAAUAAAAAUACAUAUAUACUUAUAUCAGAUUCAUUUUAAAGUCUCUCUCUCUCUCUCUCUCUUAGCUUCGCUUAAAAAACGUAAACAAAAUGUCGUUUAAUUAGCGACGCAUUAUUCGAUAUAACAAGAAAAUAUUUUUAAAAGAUUACUUACGCAAUACCACCUGAUAAGGGACACGCCAUCUUUUAUUCUACCGAAAGUAUCACGCCUGCUUCAAAUUCUGUUUGUCGAAUUGUAAUAUAUUUAUACAUGAAGAUAAUAUGUCACUUAGAAGCAACAAUUAAAAGUUGAACUAUAAAUAAAUGUCACGAUAAAUUACAAUGCUAACAGUUCACUUUAGGCAAGCUCUCAAUUCAGGAUGACAUUUUAUCAAGUUUCAACGAGCAUCACUCAGUUGCAAAUAACAUAAACGGAUACAUGUUGUCAGCUAGGUGGUUGAGCCACAACUGAACAAACUGAAUGACCACCGACUCGCGAAACUAUCGGUCUUAUAUUUCCAAGUUAGACGGCACGUGAAUGAACGAUUGAUUGUUGAUUAAGCUUCUUUGCCUGUUUUUGUAUAUUAGAAAGCUAUCUAUAAACAUUCUAGUAUCUGCGAAGAAUGUUAUUACACCACUUCGUUUGAUUAUUGACAGAAGAAUUUUGUUUUCUACGGGUUAUCAUGUAUGUAUAUAUGAGUAGAAGGAAUAGAGUUUUUUAAUCGAUAAGCCGAUCCUUCUAUUACACGUGUUUUUAUUUCCGCGAUUACAGAAUAUCGAUCAUCGAAAUAUCGAAUAUAUAAAAAUUAGGAGUUUCAUCAUUGAUAAGUGGUCUUUAAUCAUAUUAAAGAUGGCAUAAUAACUAAAAUGAUUCAGAAUUAUGAACGAUUUCAUAAAUUGCGAAAUUCAUCUUGUUAUUCUACGAUAUGCUUAUAUAUGUUUUGAUCGAUAAUGCAAAAUCUACCUGUACUACUGUUAGAAACAAAAAUGGCAUUCGUUCACCUGCUCCGAAAUUAAUAGUCAUAAAUAGACAUGUGAAUGCCAGGUGUCGCGAAAAUGAACUUUUUAAAUCAGCAUAGUUGCAUGAUCGAGACGAUAGAUCUCGCAAAUUAUGUAAUUGAGUGACAAAUUUAUGAAAUUAAUCUUUCACAUCUCUUUAUUGUUAACUUGUUUAGCAAAUUAUAGGAAUCGAAAAUAUUUUUCCGAGUAGAUAUUUCUACAGAUAUUUCUACAGUAUUCUAGAGUAUUGAAAUAUUCUUAAUUCAUGGGAUCGUUAAUCUUUCGUAAUAUAUUAAUUGCUUUUUCUUCCGCUAUCUAUCAACGUGUUAUCGUAAACGGUCAGAACAUCGAUAGUUUUCGUAUUGCGGAGAGUAAUGGAACAUUGCGUAACAUUGACCCUGCCCUCAUUUAUCAGAUUAUUUUGUGUUACGAAUUUGUAACGCUUUUGAAAUUAUGCUCGGUUAUAUUCGUUGUCGAUAUGUAAUCCAGUGCCGUACCAAGAAUAACGUAUCGUCGAAUUUGUUUUCUUAUCAGUUACAAGACUGUUGUAAUGAUUAUAUGUAGUAUCAUUUAAAGAUACUUCGAUAACCUUGAAAUCUCGAAAAAAAGUGGCCUCGAGAAAAUAUUUUUGACUAUCAACAUAUUUCCCCCUUCAUACCGAAUAUUCUUUUCUAUUAAUAUUUUUUCCUACCACAAAAGAUAAGUGAGCUAUUUAAGAUGGAUGCAAAUAUUUUUUGCAGCUACUCGCAAGUUAAUAUAAUCGAAGAAGUUCGAUUAAAAUUUCGUUCCAGUAAAUGGUGAUCAGAUACACCAGCUCAGCGAAUCAUUGAAAAAUUUCACGGCCACGUAUUUUCGAACUUAUCGAAAACUUUAACGAUAUAAACGCGAUAAUUGAUUCGAAACAAUGAUAAUGAAUUGUCAAGAGUUUCGCAUAUCGCACGUAUAACGGGUAUACCUAUAUUUAUAAAAGAUAUCUGCAAAAUAUUUCUAACAUUUUCAUCAGUUAGUUCAAAUGAAAUUCUGCUGUGUACGAUCUGUUUCAUCCUCGAAAUGAUCAAACGAAUGUUUGUCUUUUUACUAACUUUAGAACCUUAACAAUGUCAACUGGCAAGGUUGCUGUCGCAUAUUAUCUCUCUAUUCGUUUCUCGUUGAGACAGAAUUCAUCGUGUAGAUGUUCUCUUGUUAAAUUGGUCAGUUAACCAGGCAGUAGAAUACUUUCAGUGGAUCGAGAACGAUCAACUACAGUAACUAUUUACGUGUAUCUCGUGAGAAAAUUAGUGAACCGUAGUUACAUUAUACAUUAUACAUUUGAUUUCCAUAGACACGAUGAACUUGGUCUGUAUGUAAUGUACAUUGCCGGCCAUAAACGCAAGCGCAAACAAUCGUUACAUUUGUUUAGAAAGUUGGUAGUUUACUUCUGAAAGGAGUACAAUCCGAUAAACAGGAUCGCUAAACUGAAGUAUUGAAGGUUACUAAGUUACUCAUGUAUACAUGUAGCACGAUUAUUUAUUGCAGACAGUCUGUAGCUGUUGACGACGCUGUUUAUAUAUCUCUUGAAAAUCGGACCAACACCUAAUAGAUUCCACACAGAUACCUGGUUCCCGUCAUUUACAUAUAUCGGGCGAUAAGACGCGGAAACCUCUCUCGAGAAUUCGUGUCAGGCAUCGGCAUCGCGGCGAACCGAGCGCCGAUGAUCAAAAUAUUCUCCAAUACCGAAUCAUCGAUUAUCUGUUUUAGCCAGUCGCUGAGAGAACAUCAAGAGGUCUACAUCUUCGCAUAAUACAUUUAA